CCUACGGGAGGCAGCAGUAAGGAAUAUUGGACAAUGGAGGCAACUCUGAUCCAGCCAUGCCGCGUGCAGGAAGAAGGCGCUACGCGUUGUAAACUGCUUUUGUACCAGAGAAAAUCAUUGUACGUGUACGAUGUUGAUAGUAUGGUAAGAAUAAGCAUCGGCUAACUUCGUGCCAGCAGCCGCGGUAAUACGAAGGAUGCAAGCGUUAUCCGGAUUUAUUGGGUUUAAAGGGAGCGUAGGCGGUCUUAUAAGUCAGUGGUGAAAUCUCGUUGCUUAACAACGAACGUGCCAUUGAUACUGUAGGACUUGAGUACAGUUGCCGUUGGCGGAAUGUGUCAUGUAGCGGUGAAAUGCAUAGAUAUGACACAGAACACCGAUUGCGAAGGCAGCUGACGAAACUGUAACUGACGCUGAGGCUCGAAAGCGUGGGGAUCAAACAGGAUUAGAUACCCUGGUAGUCCACGCCCUAAACUAUGAUUACUCUCUGUCGCGAUAUACUGUCGUAGCGUAGAGAAGAGUAAGUAAUACACCGCGGAGGUACGCCGCGACGGUAGGAACGACGAAUAGAAGUAGAGGCGNGAGACGAGCGACGGACGACGACGAGGGAGGAGG
rnacentral:rRNA from 1 species